rnacentral:rRNA from 1 species
GACGAACGCUGGCGGCGUGCUUAACACAUGCAAGUCGAACGAUGAAGCUAGAGCUUGCUCUGGUGGAUUAGUGGCGAACGGGUGAGUAACACGUGAGUAACCUGCCCCGAACUCUGGGAUAACUGCUGGAAACGGUAGCUAAUACCGGAUAUGACCAAUGAAGGCAUCUUCUGUUGGUGGAAAGAAUUUCGGUUCGGGAUGGACUCGCGGCCUGUCAGCUUGGUGGUGAGGUAACGGCUCACCAAGGCGACGACGGGUAGCCGGCCUGAGAGGGUGAUCGGCCACACUGGGACUGAGACACGGCCCAGACUCCUACGGGAGGCAGCAGUGGGGAAUAUUGCACAAUGGGCGCAAGCCUGAUGCAGCAACGCCGCGUGAGGGACGACGGCCUUCGGGUUGUAAACCUCUUUUAGUAGGGAAGAAGCGAAAGUGACGGUACCUGCAGAAAAAGCACCGGCUAACUACGUGCCAGCCGCCGCCGUAA